rnacentral:rRNA from 1 species
GACGAACGCUGGCGGCGUGCUUAACACAUGCAAGUCGAACGAACCCGGGCUUCGGCCCAAUGGGUGAGUGGCGAACGGGUGCGUAACACGUGAGAAACCUGCCCCGGAGAUCGGGAUAACCCAAGGAAACUCGGGCUAAUACCGAAUACCUUCUGACCAUCGCAUGGUGGACUGAAGAAAUGUUCUGGCGCUCCGGGAGGGUCUCGCGGCCUAUCAGCUUGUUGGUGAGGUAACGGCUCACCAAGGCAUCGACGGGUAGCUGGUCUGAGAGGACGAUCAGCCACACUGGGACUGAGACACGGCCCAGACUCCUACGGGAGGCAGCAGUGGGGAAUCUUGCGCAAUGGGCGAAAGCCUGACGCAGCAACGCCGCGUGAGGGAAGACGGCUCUCGGGUU